UACGUAGGUGGCAAGCGUUGUCCGGAUUUACUGGGCGUAAAGGGCGCGUAGGCGGCGCGGUAAGUCACUUGUGAAAUCUCUGAGCUUAACUCAGAACGGCCAAGUGAUACUGCAGUGCUAGAGUGCAGAAGGGGCAAUCGGAAUUCUUGGUGUAGCGGUGAAAUGCGUAGAUAUCAAGAGGAACACCUGAGGUGAAGACGGGUUGCUGGGCUGACACUGACGCUGAGGCGCGAAAGCCAGGGGAGCAAACGGG
rnacentral:rRNA from 1 species